GGAGGCAUAGCUCAGCCGGUUAGAGCGCUUGCUUCACACGCAAGAGGUCAGGGAUUCGAGUUCCUUUGCCUCCACCA
rnacentral:tRNA from 1 species